rnacentral:lncRNA from 1 species
GUAAUUUAAAAAAUACAAUUACUUAUUUUAUUAUAUUGAGAAACAUUAAAUGAGAGUAACUACUUUUCUUAAUAAGUCGGAAAGUUUUUUUCUUAUGAGACUGGAGGGAGUAUAUCUCUAAAAUUACCAAAAUCACUUUGGCUUGAAGUGUGGGAAAAGCAUGAGCCACAAGCAUAUUUUGAAAUUGUAGUUUAGUUAUGAGAAUGCAAGUGGCAAGAUUAAACUCCUGACUAUGGAAGAGAGGCAAGGAUUGAACUCAUAACCACUUGGUUAGAGAAGCCUUCAGACGAUUCCAAAGACCAAAUGUCCCAAAAGCCAAGGCUAAAGAGUGCUUCAUAUAUGUUUACAAUUGCUAAAGCAGAAUUGCUUUCCUUUUUUGUUUUAAAAAAUGUAUUGUCUAAUUAUAAAAUGUGUAGUAGAAAAUACAUCAAGUACUUGAAGAUUAAGAUUCAGACCUUGUAGCAUUCCAUUUUGAUUAUAACGGCAAUAAAUAUAAAUUAUAAUGGUAGAAACUCCUGUCUAAGAUUGCCACCCAUUUCCAUCCUCCAUGAUUGAUCAACUAAACUUGCAAACUCUCUGAAAUGCACAUAGGAAGCUCAAUAAGUAAAUUUAUCAAUUCACUAAUUACUACAGGAUAUAAAAAGUGAAACCAAAACUUCCUUUACAAUAUAAAUGAGGAAUUGAGUAAUGGAAGAAUGUAUUUUGC